AGCUGUGCAGAGCUAAUCCCAAAGCAGGGUGUGCUUAUAUCAGAAACACAUGAUGAUUUUGACUGUUUUCUGACUUUCCUUACUGCCUUUCCUCCAGCAGAUGAGAGGAGAAUUGAACUGAAACAUCCAGCAAUGAUUCAUAACAGGACUGAUGCUUCACCCUUUUCAGCAAGGUUCCAGGGAAUGAUGGGUUCCCACGUGAGCCGCAGUCAUCAUCCAAAUACCACUUUCCCCUGGCCUUUCUGAAGUACCUGAUGCCUUGGAGCAUUCACAUAUGUAUGAGGCUUUCCAAAGAUGGUAAGAGACAUAAUUUCCAAGAAAACAUCACUCCUUUCUUCUUCCAAGAAAACAUGGUACUUGGGAUUCCUGGUUUCCUCUUCUGACUUAGACAUUGAUUCACUGUCUGGCCUUAGGUUUUUCAUGCGCAGGUAACUCCACCAUAUCUCCUGUUAGAUGUUAAAUGCUGCAAAUUCCAUCUGUUAUGAAGUGCAGAGACCAUCAAUCACUGUCCACCCGUGCUCCUGGAGUGUGCCCUAAGCGUGGCACACUUGGAAGUGCCCUGAAGUUUUCACAGUGACUUUAGUUGAACACAGGGCAGGAGAAUGAUCACUGUGUGCCAAGUUUUUUUCCCCAAUCACCAAAUGCCAAAGUGAGAAGAACCACAUGAAGGGAGAAAUUUUCCUGUGUUUCUCUGUUAGACUUGAGAAGUUGCAUCUUGCUGAACACUGCACUGAAAACAGUCCAGAAGAAUAUGAGACCAGAACCUGACAACUCCAUAAUUCAUAAGUAAAUAAUACAGUGUGAGAUAAAUGGCAGGCACGUCUGUGAAGAGAACUGGAAGUUUUCACUCAUUGCUCACCUCUCUCUCGGCACUGAGCUGAUCCACAGAGCUGAUCCAUCCAGGUUUGUCAUCCUUCCUGUAUCCAGCAGUUGCUUUUGGAGUCAGAAGCUGCAGGAGACAGAGUUGGGAUGUAUGUUCACGUUUCAUAUAAAAAGGAAAAAGCAAAGCAGGAAGGAGAAUUGUCACAGGUUUCUUAGCCUCAAAUACUUGUUAAACUGACUAAGCUAUUUGGGGAAUACUUGCAGCUUUUCAUACUGCUUUGAACAGCUGGUCAGAGGAAAAGGAAGAACUAAAAACUUUAUCUACUGAUAGCUAUUGUGCUGCCUUGCUAAGAACCUGCUGCUGUGGCCUUGCUUGCUUGCAAAGAUGUGCCACAAACAAUUCUAAAAAAACUAAAGCAGGAUGUAAGAAGUGUGCAGCACAUUCAUAGGAGGUGAUGUUUUCAGGAGUCCCCACGGCAGCACCUGGGGAACCUUGGUUUCAGGUUUUCCAGCUGGGGCAUGAGGUACAGUGGGAGGAGUGUAAUCCAAGGAAGACAAAGGGGAGAAGAAAUAAUCUUCAUAUGGAAAAAUCUUAUUUUGGCAUAGAAAAUCAAAAUUAUUCCAACAAAAUUUUCUUCCAGCCUCUGGAAUCAAUGAGCACCCAUGGCCCUCUCCAGCUCCUAACAGGGCAGAAAAUAUCAGACAGGAUCAGAGCUAUAGCACCAGGCAACUAAGCUUUUUUUCAUUAAUUCUAUUUUCAUAAUGUCCAAAAUAAAAUUAAGCAUGUGGUUAGCUGAACAGGGUGGGCACGUUGGCAUGAGGAGAGAUACUGUUAGGUUCUAACUUGCAAAGUGGUCUUUUUUUGCCCCAGGAUCUAGUUUAUGUAUGUUAAAUCUUUGUACAGAACAGCUUGCAAAUUUGAGGUUUCAUAAGGUCUUUGUAUGUAUGUGCAUACAUAUAUAUACAUACAUAUUUAUUUAUGUAUUUAUAUAAAAGGCAUUGUACUUUUAUUGUACUUUGUAAUAUAUACAUUUACCUGCCUCCCCACAUCUCAUAUGAAUUUUCUGAAUUAUUUGCCCUAUGUUUGCUUUUCUGUGAUUCCAGAAUGACUCAAAGUGAUCCUACUGAGCAAAUUUCCCAGAGUCAGAGUCCUCAGAUUGGUGUUCUGUUGGGGACCAUGCAACACCCAACUGCCCAGAUACUUUUGGGAAGAAUGAAGGGCUUCAAGCACAAUAACAACUAAGCAGAAGCAUUACUUAGACUAUCCAGUGAACGAAAUGUGGCUUAUGCCAUCUGAAGUCAGUUUUGUGUGGCAUUAACACAUAAAUAUUUGCAGCGAAUUUACGGCUCUGGGAUGUCCAAGGGCAGCUGCUGGAUCACACCGUGAGGAUUCCUGCUGAGCUCCUGUUGUGGAAGAGCUGGCACAGACAGGAAGAAAAGCUGCUUUUAAGAAAUAGAAACACUGCAGUUGUUACAAAGUAGACAAGGAGAAAGAGGACAACUGGGAACAUUAAAAGGAGGCAAGUAUUUUUAUUUUCAUUUUGGUUUUGCUACCCUUCCAACUAAGACAUGACCUCACUGGUUUCUUUCCUUCAAGAAUUUUUUAUUCAUAUUGAGAGAAUCCAGGGUUUCUAUGAAACUCAAAAUGCUAAAAUAAUUCUUUAAGCAGUAUAUAAAGAAUUCACUGUCUUGCAAAGGCCAAACAAGUUCAAGUGCCACCAAAAUAAUUCACUGCCCUUCUCUGAUGGACACUAUCAUUGCUGAGGAGGAUGGCGUUUGCACAGAUUUAUUGCUGGCAAAAUACCAGCAAAGACUGACUGGUGUCCAGCUGGGCCGUGGACUGGAAGCACUGCAUGAGAAACAGAAAUCGGAGUCAAGGGAACACAUUAUGGAAGGGCUCUCCUGCCACAAAGCCCUGCCAUCAACUGCUGUAACAAAUCCACAGCCACACGUAGCAGUGUUGUCAGUUCAUACCACUGUCCACGUGGAACAGCAGUCAUGACUGCAGCUGAGUGUGUCCUCAGCUUCAGAACUUUCUAAACAUCAGUAGGAAAGGAGGCAGAGUGUUGAACAGAGAUUGAGUGUUUGUUCUUCGAACAGCACCUGCUUAGGAGGUGGAAGCAGAGCUUUCACUGACAGCUUCCUCAGCAAAAUACCAAAAGGGUUUCCUUAAGAGAGCCUGUGGGAAUCCAGAGAAGACCAAAGAAAAGGAAGGGAGCUCCAUUGUCUCUGACAGCUCAAAGAAGUGGAGUGAAGAGCAAUUGUCCUGGUGAAGAACCCGCAGAGGAGAUGGGAUUCUGCACAGAAAACACUAAAUCUGACAGGCAAUCAAGUCAACAUAUCUAACACCUAAAGAAUCUUUCUGAAGCCUUUCUCAGUUUUCUUUCUUUUUGGGGGGGUUGUGAUGUCUGAAUAGAGUGAAUUUGAAACUGAGCCAAUGGUCCUUAAUCACAGCAAGAUUUUACAGAGAAGCCUGCAAUAUGAGCAAGAAAUAGAGAGACAAAUAUUCUGCUUGAAAGCAGCCGAUUAAACAUGUAACUUCUUUAAUGGGGAGAUGUGAGUAAACAGAAUCCUAAGUGGAAAUUCAAUAUAUUUUUGUAUCAUUUCAUACACCAAGAUGUAACCUUUAUAGUUCUCCAAGUGUUUAGAAAGCUGGAUGCAUAGUUCUAGAACAGACCUUGUCCUACAGAAACUGCUGAGCACAGCUUUUAUAUUGUUGUAUCAAUGCAAUUUAUUUACUGUGAAAUGUUCACAUUAUUGAAUCCUAUUUUUCUCCCAGCUGGUCACACCAUGGAAAGCAAACCAUCCAGUUUAAAUAAAUAAAACAAUACCAUUGUGCUGGUAAGUCAGAAGAUAGUAAUUCUGUGUAAUGGAAAUGCAAAUAUGAAUGCAAUUGUUAUUUCAUGGAUAAAUGGAACUUGCAAAAAGGUGGUGCAAUGUUUUUCCCCUCUUUUGUUCAUCUCAUCAUUAGGUCACACACUAACCCAUCCUUCAUUCACCAUAUUCCAUACACUUUAGUGCACUUCUGGUGGGAACAAAUGGUAUUUCAAAAGGGUUUAUGAACAUUUCUUUUCUGAUCUAAUAGGUUGGUGAGCAGAGGUUGAGGCAUCGAAUUACCCAAGGUCUCCAAAAGUUAUUUCAUAGACACAUCCUCUUUGCUGAAGAUUACUUCAGAUAAUAGCUGUUUGCCUGUGGGUCUCUUUUUCACGUUGGAGUGUAUUCUCAGUACAACAUCCUUUUAGGCAGCUCUCAGCACUCCAGACAAUAAGCUACUUACUCACUCUGUCCUCCCUCUAUUUUUGCACUCAUUAAUUUAAGAACAAAUGUAUAAACAGUCUUAAAAUUCCAAUAAACAUUCUUAUUGCCAUAAUUUUUUUAGUGCUCUAAAAGAUGGUGAAUAUUUUGCUAAUAUUGUUUCUUUAUUCUUUUUUUUUUUGUUUUUCUAUAAACACAAUGAAGUUUAGAAUGGUCUGGGGUUAUGAGAAUCAGGAUUGCAAAGUUAAAGGUAGGCAGAGGGAGAACAUAAUUAGUGAGGGGCAGGAGCUGAAGGCUGUGCUAGGCAGAUUUCUGAACCACGAUGCAAUGCAGAAUGAGGAACUGAAAGCCUGGAUUUCAUGGUUCUCAUAUUAAUCCUCCUUUAGUACUUCUAGUAUGUGCACUGUCCUUGAAAAGAGGGGCCUGUGCACAGAACAUUCCCCCACCUCAUCUGUGGUGUGCAGCUCUCAGGGACAGGGGAGACUCACUCCGAGCAGCAGCUGCCUUUCUUGGUGCUUAUCCAAGGCAACUGGAACUGUGAAACUUCUGAGGAUCACCUUUCACAUUAAAUCUGUUUUCUUCAGGAAAUAAAUUCUCACUUCAGCUUGGCCUGUGCUAUAUAAGUAUACAAAUCAAGAAGUGUUUCCGAUUGAAAGGGCACACAGAGAUUGUUCCAGGCUACUAAUACCAUCCUUGUGUGAAACAAAGAGAGAUAACCAAGAGGGGGCUCAAAAGUGAUAAUCCACACACAAAAAAGUGCUAUUUUUCCCAAGACAGUACACCUUCAUCACCACUUGCUCAGAGAAAUAGUGCUUUCUUUGUAUUUAGUGACACUUACAAGGAUUACUGCUAAAAGAUGUAAAAGGAUUCAAUACCUGUAUUAAGGCUACAGUAUUUGAAAAUAAGCUGAUAAAGAGCUCAAAGAUCUGGAUGAGAACAGCAAAAUAUUUAUAUUUCAACACACAAUUAAUGCUGCAAUGGCAGAAGAAAUUUCAAACUAUCUUCUAACCAAUGACUUUUACAGUCUUAUCCUCAAUAUCUUUGAAUCUGAACAUCAUUUUAUCUUCCAGCUGAGUCUGAUUCAAUUCCCCCAUAAAGGACAAAAAAACUUUCCAUUAGUUUCAGUGUGGGCUAAGUGAGGUGUCAUGGACAAGGUGAAACAGAUAAAUGAGCAUUUACAGAAUCAGGUAUGAGCAUUCCUGAAUCAAAAAGGGAUGAUAUGGUAAUAUAUAGUACCCUAUGGGAAUGCUGAGCACCUGGAGAAUGAUUUUCAUGAGGAUGUGUCCUGCCUUACAGCUGGGACUGCCUCCUCUGAGGUCAUCACAGUGUAUUGUAAAUACACAGCCUUAUGUAAACUACCCCACAUCAAGACAGGGACGAAAUGGCACCACAAAAAGUGGGGUACCCGAGUCUCUGCUGGGUUCUGCAUUGCAGAAUGAAGCCUGAACCAUUUCAACAUCCUCUUGGCCCAGGAGAAUAUCUACACACCUGAAAGGAAUUCAUCUGGUGAUGUCCCAGAUGGAUGUGCUACACCAGUGAAGAAGGUUUUGCCUUCAAGAAGCCUUUCUGGGAUCCUGAGGACACCUGGCACGGCAGGAGGAAGUGACUCAGCAGUUGUUUCAGUGCUUGUUCCUCCGACCCCCACCCCCCUCCGACCCCCUGAAAAUGCAUUUGUUUGAGUCUUAUUCAACUUUUUCAUCACACAUUCAACAGAAAGAAGAAAAAUCUUCCCUCGAACAAUGUUCUGUAUUAUUGAAGGCAAUUUGGGGAAAAGAUCUUGUAUCUAGGACAGGGUAGAAUAUAAAUUAACAGGGAAAGGACACGAGGAAGUUUAACACAGUGUAUAGAAACCAGGAUUUUUUCAUAAUUAAAUUCUUGCUUUUUAAAGAGGCAUGGACUCUUUCUCCUUCUUCACAGAUUUUCCACUGAAAAUUUCAUAUUAGCAGUCACAAUAUAGGGAGAGAAGAGACCAGAAGAUCCUGUUGCUCUGUAAUUGCACCUAUUUUUCUCUCUCCUUCAUGAAACAUUAUGGUGAACAAAUAAAUAUAAACUUCACACUUGUGGAAUGAUAUCUUCUUAUAUGCAGAAAUUAAUUAUAAAUCCUUCCAAAGUAAAUCCUUAUGAUCUCAUCAAAUUACUGUAUUAAAAAUCAUCAUAAAAAUAUCUUUUCAUGUGAGACUCUCAAGUAUAUGAAAUGUAAAUUAAUUCUCAGAAAACCAGCCCGAAUGAAUGCAUUAGGCCUAUUCUGUGGGUGGUUAUACAGACACUUUGAAAAUUUUUUGUUCAUAUCUUCUAUCACCUACAGUGGCACAAUAGUAAAACUCUCAAGCCUUCCAUCUAAUUUUCUGCAACCGUGGCACAGGAAUUAGACUUUGGAACAAAAAUACUCUGAGAUUUCAUUAAAUUGUUUUAUUCCUGAGCACCUGAAAUUAAAAAAAAGAAAAAAAUCCACAAAAUACUCAAUAUGUUCUUUGACCAAAUAACUGUUUAGAGAUUGAGAUGAAGGGAUCAUCUCUAUUUACUCUGAGAAAGCUAUACAGCAUACAUAAAAGCAAGGUGAACAAAUAUGUACUAGCACUAAUCCACAAUUCUACCAAAGUUUUGAAAAUACACUUUCCUAGAAGAUUUAAUACUUUAUCUAAAGGUAGGCAGGUAUUUCAGACAGAGGCCUGUCAUUGUUUUCAUUAACUUAAAUGAUGGAAGACAGUACUCAUGUGAAAUUUACAGUGUACAUUAAACCAUCAAGGGUAAAAACAUUCUUGAAGCCAGCAUUAAGAUUCAAAAUGAUCUUGAUAAAUUGGAAAGAUGCUCAAGAUUCAACGAGAUGACAAUGGGCAAGUGGCAAUGUCCUAUUCAGCAUCACAAGAGAACAGAGCUGAAGUGCCUGUGAACAGUGCAGGACUGUGGCAGAAGUGUGAAUCUCACCUGCCUAUAUAGUAACAGCACUGGCAUAUAUAAAACAUGGGAGGUUAUCAUUCUUUGGUGCUUGGCACUGAUAAAGGUGUCAUCCAGAGAACAUCACUCAGGACUAAAGUAAUCUUGAAAAAAAAAAAAAGUUAAACAAAAGACUGAAAAACUGUAUAUAAAUUGGCAGGAGUUGAGAAGCAUCAAGAACAACAGGAGUUUUAACAAACAUCUCUGCAUAAAGAUAGAAUAAAUUGUAGCUUUUGUUUGUUUGUUUGUUUCCAAAAAAGAGAGACAGAGAGAAGAAGAAGAGAGAAGGGAAUAAUGACAGUUUUGAUAGUGAGAGUUUGUUUUUAAUCUAUAAUCCAUUCAAUAUCAAAAGAUGCAACUGAGGACAAACCAACCCCACAAGACUGAAGACAGUGAUGUGUUUAUUUUGCUUAGAAGAUCUAUAAAAUGGGUGUAGAACCAAACAGCCACAAGUGCAAGAUACAAAGCAACUCAGUCCUUCCUCAAGACAGUUCUGUACCAUUUUUUACUUCUGAGAAACACCAUGAUACUUGUGCAGAGCAACAGGGAAGCAAAACAGUGGAACUGACAUUAAACAUACAUUAUUCUCCAAAUGUCAAAAAGAAAAACUAUCUACAUUAUUCACCAGGUUAAUAAUAGUCAAACAAAGACUAUUCUUUCCCUUUUGUGACUCAACCUACAAAAGCUCUCUCAUUACUAAGGACAAGACACCAGAAUUAAGAUUGCAUCCACUCUCAACAACAAGCUCCACACAAUUCUCUCCAGCUGCUCUUUCCUACAAUUCUGACACACAAUAUAGGCUAAGAACUUUUAGAUGCUGAAUCCCAUGUAAUGCUGUUAACUGCAAUAAGUAUCUCUGCUGACAUAAGGCAUAUUCAGUCACAGUUAAUAAAGGCAAGCAGUAAGCAUUGGAUUGGAAAAAAAUACUUAACAUUCCAAGGUGGGGUGGGUUUUUUAAUUUUUCAAAAAUGUCUGAUUUGUUCAUUUAA